rnacentral:snRNA from 1 species
GUACUCAUCUGAAUACUACAUAUACUAAAAUUGGAAAUGAUACAGAGGUUAGGGCUGGUCCCUGUACAAGGAUGAUAUGAAAAUUCAUGAAGUGUUUCGUUUUUAA